CUUCCACCAGGAGCUGUGAGUACAGGAGAAUUCCCAGACUGUCUUCCAGCAAAUUUGGGUGAGGUAUAAUCCCAUUUAGAGGAACUGAAGCAUCCAUUGAACCAGAUUUCUGAAUCAAUGACCUGUUCACAGGGAACAAACAGAGACUUCCUCAAUUUGAGGAGAGAUAUCUACAGAGACUUGAAAUCCUGGGUUUAGAAAACUUAGAACUACGCCGUCUUCGACAUGACUUGAGUUUAACUCAUAGAAUCAUCUAUUACAAUGUCCUUCCUGUCAAAGACUACUUCAGCUUCA